rnacentral:rRNA from 1 species
CAGUCGCCGCGGGAAUACGUAGGGUGCGAGCGUUAAUCGGAAUUACUGGGCGUAAAGCGUGCGCAAGCGGUUGUGUAAGACAGGUGUGAAAUCCCCGGGCUUAACCUGGGAACUGCGCUUGUGACUGCACAGCUAGAGUAUGGCAGAGGGGGGUGGAAUUCCACGUGUAGCAGUGAAAUGCGUAGAGAUGUGGAGGAACACCGAUGGCGAAGGCAGCCCCCUGGCCAAUACUGACGCUCAUGCACGAAAGCGUGGGAAGCAAACAGGAUUAGAUACCCCGGUAGUCCCUGUCUCUUAUACC